AGUACAACUUUCGAAUGCUUACCC
rnacentral:piRNA from 1 species